CAGAAUGUCUUUACAGGAAAGAAGAAAAGAUGUGUCAUUCAACGGAUGUACAAGAUGAGAUCUAGAGACAACAGGAUUCCCUGGAAAUGGUGACCUCAUAGGAAGAGGCAGCUUUGCGGUCUAGCUCCCUGAGCUAGAGCCGUGAGCACCCCUCCUGGCCCUGCCUAUGCGUCCUCUUCAUGCCCUCUCUGCCAUGGGCACCAGACUCCUCUGCUGCGUGGUCAUCUGGCUCCUGGGGGCAGGUCCCGUGAAUGCUGGCGUCACCCAGAACCCGAGACACCUGGUGAGAAGGACAGGACAAGAGGCAACACUGACGUGCCGCCCUGAGAAAGGACACGGUUAUUUUUACUGGUAUCAGCAGCCCCUGGGGGAAGGUCUGAAAUUCAUGGUUUACCUCCAGAAGGAGAAUAUCAUAGACGACUCAGGAAUGCCAAAAAACCGCUUUUCUACUGAAUUUUCCAAAGACGGACUCAGCGUUUUAAAGAUCCAGCCGGUGGAGUUGGGGGACUCUGCAGGGUACUUUUGCGCCAGCUCUUACCCACAUCAGUGCAGACUCCCAUCGUCGCAAGGCACAAACCUCCCCGGCAAACAGCCCUGGGCUCAGGGACGGAGGGAAUGUGCUGCUUGGUGAGCAAGCACACUAGCUAGAAAGCAUUUUGCAGGGCGAGCAUGG